rnacentral:lncRNA from 1 species
CUGGAGUACUUACCACGUUAUUCACUUCCUUUGCUCCCACGGUCAAUGAUCAUCUUCUGCAAAGCUAUUUUUUGCUCAGCCACCUCCAUCUGAAGCUUGUAAAUCUGAGCGCCCAUGUGGGAAAGCUGCUGCGCUGCAAAUUUAGCGCCCUCGUCAGCUUCGCGGCGCCUCUCGCCGGCAUCCUCAAUCCUUCUCUCCGCUGCUUCGCGCUCUGAGUUACUUUCAUCGACUUCCUGUAUAUGCUUGAGCUUGUUGAGAACCUCUUGAUGGACCUUAAACUUGCUUUCAACCCGUGCUACCAUCUUCGCCUUCGAGUAAUAAAACAGUAAGGCAAGCAGAACCUCGAAUCCAGCCACUAUUCCACCAAGCUGGCACACAAAUUUUUGC